GGACGGUCGGUUUAGGCUCCUCCUACAUUACCGCAAACGAUGAUGACUCAUACUCAACGAGCCAGAGCAUGCUAAUAGUACACGACUUAUCCUGACUGACAAAAAUAUUUAUUGCUUCCCUAUCUAAGUAGCUCUACAACGUUCCAACGUGUUUGUCCAAAGGAGCAUGACGAGCUUCCAUUUAUUCCAUGGUGUCAAGAAAAGAAAGAGAAUCUCUCAUUCAACUUAGAGGCCGAGCCAAACGAUAUGCUGCUCUUACCACUGAUGACAAUUAUGAAACGAUCUGGGUUUCUAAAGUGGCCACCAAAAUUAACGUUUUCCUAAUUCAAAAACAUCUAUGGCAGCCUGAGGUCGGAUUGCAUUCACUGAGACAAGAAAGUUGAGAUAACGAGGCAUAGUCCAACAAAAGAUCCAAACGUACGCGAACAGAUGAAGAACUUUUGGACAAAAUUUACAGUUUGUAUCAAACAGACUUGGUUUCAAGAAAUCAAUCUCUAUCCACCCCUCCCCCUUGCAAAACAGACAUUAAGCCAGCGGUUACAGGAGUUACAGGAGGGAUAUUCCUUAGAACAACGAAGCUGAGAACAUUUCCAAUUCACUGAAAUGGAGGCACAACCUGUUCAAAGCUUAACACGAGACAUUGUGAUACUCUUUCGUUUUGACAUGUUGGUCUACGAUAGCCAAGGAUUACUGAGCCUCGUUCACUGUUCAAUGACAUUUUCUAUAUUCAUCCAAAGAAAUGGUUUACACUUUCAAGGCUGGGCAGGAGCAUAUUUGCUUCAACUCUACCAAUUACAGCUGGAAAGGAGGCCACUUCUUAUUAUGCGGGUCAUACACGUACGAUGCUUGGCAGGGUUUGUUUUCUUCGCUUAUAGCAGAGACAGCCAAAGCCAGGAAAACCACAGGCAAGACAACCACGAUCAAAACAACCGAGGCCAAGACAAUCAUGGCCAAAACAACCAAGGCCGAGACAACCAUGAUCAAAACAACCGAGGCCAAGACAACUAUGGCCAAAACAACCAAGGCCAAGACAACAAUGACCAAAACAGCCAUGACCAAAAUGACAACAAUGACCAAAACAACCAAGGCCAAGACAACCAUGAUCAAAACAACCGAGGCCAAGACAACCAUGGCCAAAACAACCAAGGCCAAGACAACAAUGAUCAGGAAGAUCAGGAUCAAGAAUGGCUUGGAAUGUCAUGGAUAUCCGAUGAACUUUGAAGAGUGCAAUCUAGAAGAACAAUUUAGUAGUCACUAUUAUUCUAAAAGAUUAAUUUAUCAGAGAUGAGAGUAUAUUAAGCUGGAACGAUACCUCGAGUGUUAAUGUAAGACAACCGAUACAAGAGGAAAUUUAUUUAAACAGACUUUAAGGAAGCACCAAGUUGUAAAUCAUUUCGUUUUCUUUGUUAUUUGACAGCAACUGUAACUGGUGUUGCUGUCUUUAUAAUUAUUACUAAGACUUAAGGCCAUUAUUUAAAAAGGAUAACCCCUCGGUUAAAGAAGCACUGUAAACAGUUACGAUUCCACUGAUUUGAGGAGGCUAUGUCGAUCUCAUUUGAUUGUGCUGAUGCUUGCCUAUUUUCUUUUAUCACAAGCUGUAAACUUCAACAAUGAAACAUUAAUUUCCUGAUGAAAAUCCAGCUAAAUCAAACUGACUAACGUUACAGAAUAAACGUUCACCAAUGUGAUACGCUUCAAUCUUGUCCACAGAGUUUCUAGUGAUCCUUUGAUGUUAUUCUACAGUUUCAGAUCGUUAGUAGAAGUUUAGGUCUCUUAAGGAACAGUUUCUAUGAAAUUAAAUUACCCAAGAUAGCGUGACUUAGCCUCAUGAAAACACCAGCGAGUUCCAAGUUUCAAUUCUGCUUUAUUACUUUGAUGAUCCGAUGAUCAUGUAGCAAGGCUUUAAAAUAAAGGAGGAAAAAAGUAAACACAUCUAGUGAGUUUGCUGGAUUUAAAACGUUUAGAUCACCUCAGACGUUAACUGAAAAUAACGUCACGCUGCACCUUGGAUAUCGUGACAAAACUGCAGAGUGUCUGCCCGGCACCCUGUCCGCUGAAUAGAUUUGUCAUCAUAUCCAAGUUGGCGGAUCUACGAUCAUGCUAUUCGACGAUCGAAUCGGUCACAAAGACUGUUCAAAAACAUCAAGCCCUCCGAUAAAGACAACACGAAGGACUGUGCGGCAUCUGGUAUUUUUUUUGGCUGUUCCCUCAUGCGGAGCAAAAACAAAAGGCUUUGUUUGGUGAAAUUGGUUUUCAUCAACAAUUAUUGACACUGUUUCAAGGCACAUUGUUAGGUUAAAAUGGAGUUUCGUAUCUUUCUCAUUCUCUCUCUGGACAAAAUCAAUAUAACUUUAAACUGCUUUCGACAAGCACUCCUACGAUACUUAUUGACUUUUAUUUUAUUGGUGUUUUCACAAGUUCCAAAUUGUUUAGCAAAAGUGGAGGGAAUUUAUUUUUAAACCUGCCAUUCGGUAAGUUUACGCAGAUUCAUUUCAAUAAUAAACAUGAUAUCAAGGUCACCAUGUAUCAUUAAUUGGAUUCCUUCUCACAACAUUUAUGAAAUUCAAGUCAAUUUUGUUCCGCUGAUUUUCGUUUCCCAUUCUUCUCACAGCAUUGGCUAUACUUCAUACAAAUGUUAAACAGUUGUAAGACUGCACCAGACAGUAGCUUACAAGACAAACAAAUAAUAUCCGCUUAUAUAGCAACAAUUCUUUACGCAGGCUUGAGAUCAGAAGGUCAUAGUUUUGAGCUAGUUAAUUGGUCGAAAAAAAUGCUAACCAAUCAAUGGGUGUUCCAAGUUUGUUUGACAGAUUUAAUUUCCGAGAAAUCUUGAAUAGCUCAACACUGCGGACUCCAUCAAAAUUCAACGCCGCGCAAGGACAUUCUAAAGUCAGAAAGUAGCAGCGAUACUGAAGCUGGUGGUCAAAUCGAUUGUAUGCAGCUGGCUUGAGUAUAGUGUACUUAAAAUAACAGUGAUAAUGUGUCACCGUGCUCAGAGAUUCCUACCAAAAAGCCAGGAGUUGAAGCGGAACAAUGUGACAGGAUUACAUUCUUUGCGACAGUCAUCGACACCAUAAAUGAUUCUCACAACACGGCUGUCCUACAUGAAUAGCGAUGGGACCUGUUUCAUUUAUCCUUGCUCGGUUAACAAAUCCAGAAGGGUGAACCUGGUGGACGUGCUAGUACUCGCGAGAAGUAUGCACAAACAAAACAAAUUGAUUUGCUCAUCUGGAAAUAAAGCCUCUUCACAGGGCACUACGCUUGUUAUUCCAAUAGGGAGAUAUGAGGGCGGAGACACUGGGUACAGACCGUGAACUCAACUCUUUCGCUUUCACUCUCAAUGACAUGUUUUGAUGAUACGCAUGUAAAAGGCACGUUGACUCGAGGUCGUCUCCAUUGAAGGAUAGUUCGCCGAAGUUUAACUAGGUAGGAGGAAGCAACAAUCUAUUUAAUUCCUGAAAGUAGAGUCACCAAUGUCAUAUUUGUCUACCACAUUUAACUUUUCGACUCUUUCUCUUCGUUUUUCGCGUGAUACCUUUGUUCGCUGAAAGAGAAAACGCCACGUGCCUUUCUUCUUGUCUUCAGGAUAGCUGGCGAUCAAGAAACGUGGUUAAAUCCAUUCGUGCUGUGGAAAACAAAGUAGUAUAUACUUGGAAGCAUCUUUAUACGCCGAUGUAAGUACAUAUAAAGUGAAGUAUAUAUAGGUUGUGAUAUUUCUAAGCCAGAAGUGUGCCGUAAAUGUGCACGAUUCGCUCGAUAAAUAUUGAGUCGUCACAAAGUUUACAACUCUCCUUUUCGCAAACACCCAGUCCGCCAGUUACUUGCGUCCAUAAUUUGAACAUAUUAGUACAACAACACUGACUAUUCCUUGAUCAUGAUUUCUUGGUUUUAUAUCAAACCAUUCACUUAUACAUGAUAUUUAAUCCUACAGCCCAUCAUGUUCAUUAUGAUUGUUAUUGUCCUGGUAGAUGGAAGGCUCAGAACAACCUGUCUUAUAGUUGUCAUACUCAGGUAAUUUCAAGGGCUUAAAAUAGAGUUUCCGUGCACCGCGGAUUUAAAUGACACAAAUCCAUUUGUUUUCUAGUAAAAGCUAAUUAAUUCCAGAGGACUUUUCUUUCUAUAAUUCGUUACGGUUUUCUUUACAUAUGUCUAUUAUGGAGUUCAGCUUUUUAAAGAUACGAGAACAUACCAAGGCAACAAUAAACCAAAUCGAGCUGAUUAUGAGUUUUGUAAUCAGCUGUUAUUAAAAAUCACUGUUUCAAAAUACCGAGGUCUAAGUUCGACCUGACCACUUCCUGUGAACAAAUUCGAUUAACCCGUCAUACUUCAUGAUUACGUUAUCAACAAUAACAAACUUGCAACUGCUUGUUUAAAUUAGCGUUUCUCUAGCGUACUUUUCCUGCCUACAGUUACAACCACAUAGAAGUCUCGUUUAAUCCAAUAGUCUACAACGUCCAACAUUUCAAAUACAGUCUUCAGUUCUACUUAAGACAAUCACGUGCAUGAUCUACCACUGACAAUAACAUCCUUCGUAUAUCCGCUUGGGGUGGUUUGAAAAUUUUCUGGUAGUAUCGUCGGAGGUAACUAAUCAUUUUUUUACUCCUACUACAGAAUAUACCAACACCAAGGUUGGACGGACUAUGUACCUGAUGAACUGUGAGGUGGAAACAGAAACAUCUUACUUAUACCCCAAACAGUGUUGGUGCAAAAAAAUGAUUAAUUAUCGUUAUAACUAUUAGCUGGGAAAAUGUUAUUAUUUAUUUAUUAUUUAAUUGUACAUGUAACUGGCCAUAUUCUUGCAAAUAUAAAGCUUGUUUUGCGUUGAGAGGUGGUGUACCGGUGGAACGGGAACCCUCAGUGUUCCUUGGUAAUUUUAUUCUUAGAACAUUACUUGCAAUAUAACCGCAGAUCGACAAAAAUGAUUUGUUUAGUAGUAAUAAUAUUUUUAUUGCUUGGGAAGUGUUUGAUCUCUCUCGAGAUCAGGAUGUAUAGGAAUUUAAUCUUUUAUUGACUUCCAUUAGCAAACCAUUAAUGUUACAUUGCAUGAUUGAUAAGAUAGUACACUGGUAGGCCAGCAAUUUCAAAACACUUGUAAAUAAUCAGUAAGAAUGAUAAGGUAUUUAUACUUAUAACGAUAAAGUCUUGCCAAAUUAAAUAAGUUAAAAAUUCAACUCCAGUCAGAAAACCUAGGAAUAAUGUUGAUCAAAGCAGAAAUGUGAUUUUUUUCAAGUGGUAACAUCACUAACAUCAAAAUGGCCCCAGUUAGAUUUUGGGGAAAGUUAACAAAAACUCAUCAUGAUCUUCAAACCUCAAAAGGACCCCAGGUCUGAAUGAGAUUAAACACUAGCUACAUUAAAUUACUGACGUUUCGUUCGCGUUUUUCAUAGCAAACAUGGUAUAGAACAAAAGUAAUUCUGCCAAAAAUACUCUUGUUCAACUCAUUUGGCAUAUUGCAUUAUACCCGUAUCGGGUCUUUAGCGUAUAUGAAUAUAUACUUUGGACUUGUAAUUAAUAAGCGUUAUGAAUAAUACAUUUGAUGAAUUUGCGUGACAGACGAGUCUACUGUUCGGUGUAAGAACUGUAGACCUCUCUAUUUUGGUUUGAUUUGAUCAACGAACCCAGCGCAAGGCUUAACUAGGAAUUUUAACCAGCAUGUUACUUAUUCACAGAGUAUUUUAAAUAAAGUUUUUCUCCGUUUUAUCGCUAACUAAGCAUAUUGGAAUUACAACGAGAACGUAGCCUAGGAACCACACCAAGAAGGACAGUACACAGAGGAAAACCUUAAACUUAUAGAGGAAGUUCAUUUUCAGUGGGAGCAACAACAGUAUGGAAUACUUUUUCACCUGAGAUCCGAAACAGCAAUAUUUAUUCUGGGUCGCUUACGUUAUUGAAAAUAAACUUUUAACUGUUUUCAAUGUCA
rnacentral:misc_RNA from 1 species